rnacentral:sRNA from 1 species
GUCGCUGAGACAACAGCGACCGGGAUUUGCAGCCCGACAGUUCCAAGGCGGACGACCGCCGCAGUGCGGUUUUUUU